AGGGCUUGACAUAUAAGAGACGAACUUAGAGAUAAGUUUUCUUCUUCGGAAGCCCUUAUACAGGUGGUGCAUGGUU
rnacentral:rRNA from 1 species